ACAAACAACUAAGCCCAUGAAAGAAAUCUUUAAGACAUCAGUUAGUGUCUACUUUUAUCUGGUUUAGCCUGGAGAAAAGAAUGUUCAGGGGAGACCUCAUCGCUCUCUACAGCUACCUGAAAGGAGGUUGUCAUGAGAACACUGAGAAAAAUGGUGAUCAAUCAAGAGAACUUGAAGUUGGGUGUUGAAAGACAUGGAGCUGCUCCCAGUUCCCCAGAGAGAUUAACAGAAGGAAUAACAUGCUGAUUAAACAGGUUUGUGUGGCAAGUGACAAGACUGAACUCUGUGCAAUACAACUAGUAUUAAUCUUAAGAAUGGAGGAACAAUGAAUGAAUGUUCUCUGAUUCCAAUAACUUUGAUUCCAUAAGAAAAGGGAUGAACGAAGUCACCCUAUUCUAACGCCAUAAAGCUGUGUCAAAUCUGUAAUUUCACUUUGUGAUUUAUUGUAUGCUGAAUCAAGCAGCUCGGGAUUUUAGAAGCAAAACCAAUAAAGGUUUGUAGGAGGGACCCCGGAGACAACACCCGAGUAACGACAUCACACCGAUGCGAUGAAAGUCAUUCUGCUUUAUUUGCCCAAAUAGCGCCAAGAUAUACAGAGCCACAUGGUCACACGCUCUAUGCUUUACAGUCUAUUGGCUAAAGGCACUUAUCACACCCCCGGAAGUGCUGUGAUAGAUAAAAUGUAGUAAUUUAAAAGAAGGAAACUCAAUUGCACCUUAAAAUAUGAAGAUACUUCUUUGCCAAAAUAAUUCUGACUAGAAAUGGAAGAAUACCAUCUCUCAAACUUAGGCUGGACAUCCAGUCUUCAAAAUAAGCAUGGAAAAAUCAUGAGGAAAAAGAAAAUUUGGAAAAUGUGAAUAUGGACAAUGUAGGUGCAGUCUAUCUAGAAUGAAAAUCAAAUGCGAGAAAGCUAACAAGCAACAAACCUGAAAUCACGCUAGUAACGAAGGAGGAAUAAUAUAGACAAACAUAAUUAAGGGUAAAACAGACCUACGUAAGUGGUAUAAAACAAAAAAUACAAAAAUGAAGAGAAAGGACCACAGAAUGAAGCUGAGUGUAAAAGAAGAUGAGAAAACCAAAGGUGGGGAGGUAGAAGGAAGGUCACAGAACAGGCUAUGAUUAAGAAAAGCAUUUUCAAGUAUAUGAGGAACAAAGGGUCGGAAAGAGAAACAGCACACCCUAUGAAAGAUGGCAAAGGUAAUUUAUUGUCAAAAGAGGAAGAUAUCACUUAAAAGAAAAUGGAUUUGCUUCAGUGUUUAAAACAGGUGACAGAGGAUAGCUCAAAGAAAUACACAAAAAUUUCCCAGAGGAGAAAGAAGGAGAAAUACUAAGGGUAAUCACUUCAGGAGAGCUGAAGUAAUUAGGACAUCUAGCAGUUGAUAAGACUGUAAGGCAGGAUGAAGUCCAUUCAAGAAUUUUCUAAAUAAUGUAGCAAAAAAAGCAGAAACAUACUUUUAUUUUUUUCCAAAUCCCUAUGAGUUCUGAAGUAGCAUAUGCAUAACUAAGAUGACAACAGCAGACAGAAAUACAGUUUUCAUUUCUAAUUGGUAUUUUCAGUAGUAACUCAGAAACUAUUCAUAUUCAAAGUCGAUUUUGUCUGCAUCACUAAAGAGUUAGGAAGUGGUAAGUUAAAGUAGGAGCUAAAAAUUUGCUUAUAUCUUCUGAGAAUUUGAUGUAAGAUCUUAGAGAAAAGUAUUUAGAAACUGUGAUUACCAAUUUUCAGUAAAAAAACAAUGGAUUACAUUAAAUCAGUUAAAGAGAUUCCCAUUCUUUAUUUCUUUUUGUGCACAAGAAUUUUAUCAUGAAAAAUGAAGAGUUUACCAAAUUUGAAUUUUUAGAGUUAAAAUUACAAAUUGCCUGUUUUAUGAAGAUCUGAGUUAAACAUCAUAAAUGUCUAUAAACUACACUGGAUACAUUUUUGUCCCAUUCAUCAAAGGGAAGUACAAUCACAUGAACCAAUACAAAAUCCACUGAAGUGAGCAGGAUUUUGUCAAUUAACUUUAGUUGCCUUUCAAUUAGAACACAUUACAUUGAUAUUUAUUGAGAUGUGUAAGACAUGCUACAAUGUUUUUUAAAAGUUUCACCUUCCAAUGAAUGACAUUAUGAACCAUAAGAAUUCACAGAAAAUGUAUUUUCAGACAUAUUUAUUUGGAAUUUACAGUUAUGCCAGACUUCUGAGUUACUUGGUAUGUGACACCCCAGUCUUCAUGUUGUGAUGCACCAGAUUUUGACUUCUGACUGUUUAACUUGUACCCUGCAGGUUUCAGAACACAAGCCUCACCUAGGUUGCUAUAUAGCUAACCCUAGCCUAUAACUUGAUGUCAGGUGUUGAUUUGGGAGAAUCAAAGGGUGGAAGUGACACCCUGCCUCCUAACAUCUUGCCCCUUGGCUGACAUCAUCAGCAUAGGCAGACUGCCAACACUCUGCCCCUGACACCUGGCCCUUUGAGUGAUGUCGAAGGCACAGGCAUGAUGCUGCCCACAUUACCCAUGUAAGGGAAGCUUCUGUCAAAUCACACUGCCAUUGGUGGAGCCAAGGGGUAACGUGUGUCUCCUACUUGCCUUCACAUGCCAUUUGAGUGAUUGGCUGUUGCAGACAGAUGACCCAGACACCGAGCAUCCCUGGCAGUCCACCGGCACUACGGCAUCGCUUCUGAUCCUCUGUUUGCUAUUGGUGAUUGAGUGAGUCACCAUAUGGGUGCAUUGUUGCUCAUCUUUCUUACUACUUCAUUCAAGCUUUACUUUAUAACAUUGUCAGACACCAGUAUUGUUUAGACCACAGUCAGACUUACCUCAACCAAAUUUUAAAAAUACUGCAAUUAAAGACAAAUUGUCAUUAUUGAGAAAAUCUUGAACUUGGACUUGUUUGACAUGCAUGGAAGUCAAUAGCUAUUAAAAUAAUAAAUUACAGAGUUCAUAAAAAGAAGUGCACUAGUUCAUGUAUGUUUUACAAAUGUAUUUUUUAAUGUUUUGUAGAGGUUUAAGUAUAUCGAGAUGUACUGUCCAGUUAUUUUUAUAAUCUCUGUCUGUACACCCCUUACUGUUUGUUUCAAAAACAAUGCCUGUCACCUAUUAGCUUGCAGUAAUAGAAGCAUGUGAUAUUCUGAUUUUGUAACAAUAUGCUUUUUUUUUUUUUUGUAUAAGAACUACUAAUAAAAUACCUUGCUUUCUUCAUAGUCAUGUCUGAAGUUCUGCAGAAAAACUGCAAAACAUAGAAUAAAUCUUCACUGGUUUUUGUAUGUAGGUAGUUACACUAAGAUUCUAUGAGCAGGAACUAUAUGGAACAAUAAUGUCUUUAAUAAGGCAAAAUCACAACAUGCAAGUGCUGUGGAACUAGUCUCUAUUGAGAAUUGUGAUAUGAAGGUUCAACAAAAUAGAGAGUAAUGGAUGACACUAUUAUUGGAGGUGAUAGGUAAUUCUGGAAAAACAAGAUUUGGGCAAAUUCCAAGUAUUCUCAUUCAUUCAGUCACUCCCCGAUGACAGGGAUAUCAGGUGUCUCUUGAAAUGAUAGCACACACAAGAGAAAAACAGUAUUUUCUAUCUAGUUAAAAGUUCUUACUUUGAAGGAAGUGGGCCUUGUACUAUUAAAAAAACCCACAACAAAUCAAACUAAAUACCCCCAAACCAAAAAAUAUUCCACUUAAUCUGGUCUCCUGUGAAAUGAGAACUUGAUUAGUAUGUUGGUUGCCAAGAAGGCAGUGCCUUCAGCAUACAUAUGUAUGUAUGCCUGUUUCCUGAAACAACCUAUAAAUAAAAGUAUCAUGGUGUUUCUCAAUGCA